GUUGAACGCUGGCGGCAUGCCUUACACAUGCAAGUCGAACGGCAGCACGGGUGCUUGCACCUGGUGGCGAGUGGCGAACGGGUGAGUAAUACAUCGGAACGUACCUUAUCGUGGGGGAUAACGCAGCGAAAGCCGUGCUAAUACCGCAUACGACCUGAGGGGGAAAGCGGGGGAGCGAAAGACCUCGCGCGAUUAGAGCGGCCGAUGCCUGAUUAGCUUGUUGGGGGGGUAAAAGCCCACCAAGGCGACGAUCAGUAGCUGGUCUGAGAGGACGAUCAGCCACACUGGGACUGAGACACGGCCCAGACUCCUACGGGAGGCAGCAGUGGGGAAUUUUGGACAAUGGGGGCAACCCUGAUCCAGCAAUGCCGCGUGAGUGAAGAAGGCCUUCGGGUUGUAAAGCUCUUUUGUCAGGGAAGAAACACCGGCUCUAACACAGUCCGGGGAUGACGGUACCUGAAGAAUAAGCACCGGCUAACUACGUGCCAGCCGCCGCAGUAA
rnacentral:rRNA from 1 species